rnacentral:misc_RNA from 1 species
AUUUGGAUAUAAUGCUGCAACUGGCAACUAUGAAGACUUAAUGGCUGCUGGCAUCAUUGAUCCAACAAAGGUGGUGAGGUGUUGUCUAGAACACGCUGCAUCUGUAGCGAAGACAUUCUUAAUGUCAGAUUGUGUGGUGGUUGAGAUCAAGGAGCCCGAAGCAGCAGUUGCUGGCAACCCGAUGGACAACUCAGGAUACGGUUACUAGGUGAUUGAAUGAAGGCUACUGUUAUCAGAUAAGAUGAAGUUGAAAGCCUUUAUUUUUUUGUAAAAGCUUAGGUAUUGUUUGUCGAAGGGAAUAUAUAAGAUCCUGGUUGGAGUAGCAGCCUUCAGGGUUCGGCACUGUUAAUUAACAUGCAAUCCAAUGUGUAAUUGCAGCUUCAGUGGAUGUUGAGUCACAGGACAUUAAUAAAUCUUUUAUGUAAUUUCUUAAAUUUCAAAUCUUCAUUAGUCAUGUGGAAUAGUCAUGGAAUUUAACCUAACUAGUCUUGGCAUUAUUAUAUAUAGUAUUUUAUAGUGUUACUCAUA